rnacentral:lncRNA from 1 species
AACUCUCAGCACACUUGUUCAUCUAUAUUACUUAUUUACUUCUGUGUGUUGAGCCCAAAUCUGCCAACAUGUGACUUCCAUCCUUUGAUCUCAUUUUCUGGGAGCAACACAAAAAAAAUGUGGCUUCCUUGAAAGUUCUUCAUGUAUUUAAAGAUCACUCUCAAGCCUGCAGUCAACCUGGAGUAGGCAGAUGAAGCAGCUGGGGAAAAGACCUCUUGACCUACCAACAAACAGUCACAGGUCUGUAAUUUUGAAAUACAGCAUGUGCACAAAAGAGAGUAUAAAAUUCAUGUGUCUAAUUACAAGAGUAAACAACAAAAUGAACACCAGUGAAUUGACUGCCAGAUUAAGGUCACUGACACUGUCAAGUUCAGAGGUGGUGAGAGACACAGAUUGCAGGUAUCUUUGUAAGUUCCAAUUCGUCCCCCACACCAGGUUCAGCUUGUCUUUACUCUCCCCUGAGUCACUUCGAGUUUGGUUCUACUGAUCUACAGGAAGCUUCUUCCCACCACUGAAUUCAAGGGACAGUCUUCCCAUAUGUCUUUACCAGCUCUCGCAAAUGAAGACAGAGCCUGUCUAUGUCAUUCAGACUGGCCUCAAACUCCAGGGCUCAACAAAGCCUCCUGCCUCAACUUCCCCAGUAGCUGGGACUACAGCAAAUAUCUUCCACUGAGAUCGUGUGGUUUUAAUCAUACAAGGAGAGUGGCAGAAGAACAGAAAGAUUGAAACCAAGGACAGAGAACACCUGAAAUUGCUUCAGGGUCAUAUGUCACAGCGCUGGGCAUUUCAUUUGGGUAUCUAUCAUCAUUCCCAUUCUGCAAUGAGGAAAUGCUGUCAGAGUGAUUAAGUAAUUUGCCCAUGGUCUCACAUAGAAGCCUGUCUUCUCCAGGGAACACAGCACUCAGAAUCGUCUCGGCCCCUGCAUAAGCCUGCAUGAGCCUGGGCUCUGGGGACCCAUCCUGGUGCAUCAUUCGUUGGCUCUGUGACAAUGGGCACAUCGUUUAACCUCUCUUGGCUUCAUUCUCCUUACUGGAAUGAUGGAGAGAGUUUUGCCUAUUUCAGAGGCUUGCUCUUCUAUACGUGAGCCUAUAAGUAACUUGUCUUAAGAAUUUCCACUCCUUCUGUACUCUGAUUUAAAUUUGAAGGCAUCAAAACAAAAACAAUCAAGAUUUCAGAUUCCAAAUACUUUCAUUUUCAUUUUUUAUUUUGAUUAGAAUUUCUUCUGAAUGAAUUUCUGUUUUGUAAUUUUAGCAUUGCCCUGAGGGGGGGAAAAGGCAGUUUAUCACCAUGCAGUAUAUUUUUCAGACAGCCUCUCUUUGACAAACUGAUUUUUGUCAGUCUCAACUGACUCACCAAUUCCAAAUCCCAGGGCUUCCCUGGGAAACUUCCUUGGAUCAUGGCUCUGCCACACAGGACCGACAUCCCAGAGGCCAAAGCAACCUGCUAUAAACUGAGAUCAUUGCUCAGCAAGCUGGUACCACAUGCAAGGAGUCUCAAGAGCUAACAGGAAAUGAUUCAAGACCAGAAUUACCCAGAACAAGUGUGUUAGCUUCCUCUGCGCAUGGGAUAAUAAGGAGCUUGCAUCACCAACCUUCCGUGAAUAGCCUACUCAGUGAUUCAACAGGUUUCAAAAUUGUGAAA